UACGUAGGGGGCAAGCGUUGUCCGGAGUUAUUGGGCGUAAAGGGCGCGUAGGCGGCUUGUCAAGUCGAAUGUGAAACCCCCGGGCUUAACCCGGGGUAUGCAAGCGAAACUGACGAGCUUGAGUGCAGGAGAGGAAAGCGGAAUUCCCAGUGUAGCGGUAAAAUGCGUAGAUAUUGGGAGGAACACCGGUGGCGAAGGCGGCUUUCUGGACUGUAACUGACGCUGAGGCGCGAUAGCGUGGGGAGCAAACAGG
rnacentral:rRNA from 1 species